GACGAACGCUGGCGGCGUGCCUAAUACAUGCAAGUCGAACGAGAGCGACCGGUGCUUGCACUGGUCAAUCUAGUGGCGAACGGGUGAGUAACACGUGGGUAACCUGCCCAUCAGAGGGGGAUAACAUUCGGAAACGGAUGCUAAAACCGCAUAGGUCUUCGAGCCGCAUGGCUUGAAGAGGAAAAGAGGCGCAAGCUUCUGCUGAUGGAUGGACCCGCGGUGCAUUAGCUAGUUGGUGAGGUAACGGCUCACCAAGGCCGUGAUGCAUAGCCGACCUGAGAGGGUGAUCGGCCACAUUGGGACUGAGACACGGCCCAAACUCCUACGGGAGGCAGCAGUAGGGAAUCUUCCGCAAUGGACGCAAGUCUGACGGAGCAACGCCGCGUGAGUGAAGAAGGUUUUCGGAUCGUAAAACUCUGUUGUUAGAGAAGAACAAGUGCUAGAGUAACUGUUAGCGCCUUGACGGUAGCUAACCAGAAAGCCACGGCUAACUACGUG
rnacentral:rRNA from 1 species